CCAACGGCCCUUUUCAGGGCCUCGAAACGUACAAUGAAGAUAAUGU
rfam:Folsomia candida strain VT population Fcan01_Sc005, whole genome shotgun sequence.